ensembl:lncRNA
GUGUGUGUGUGUGUGUGUGUGUGUGUGUGUGUGUGUGUGUGUGUGUGUGUUGUGUCAGUAUGUGUGUGUGUGUGUGUGUGUGUGUGUAUGUGUUUGUGUGUGUGUGUGUGUGUGUGUGUGUGUGUGUGUGUGUGUGUGUGUGUGUGUGUGUGUGUGUGUGUGUGUGUUUGUGUCAGUGUGUAUGUGUGCGUGCAUGUGUGUCAGUGUGUGUGUUUGUAUGUGUCAGUGUGAGUGUGUGUCUGUCCGUUUGUGAGCGUUGGUCUGUGUGUGUCAGCGUGUGUGUUUGUGUGUGUCAGUGUAUGUGUGUGUCUGUGUGGGUGUUUGUCAGUAAGUGUGUGUGUGUGAGAGAAUGUGUUUGUUAGGACAGCAGCAAUGGAAAGCGAAGGAGGAGUGUGAUGAGCGGUCUGGUUCCCAGGUAGAUAAACACACCGGAACAAUGAGGAGGCUGCCACAAACAGGAUACGUCGGAUGAUGUCGAGUUGAGUUGACGGAUGUUGAAAAUGCUUCCGUCCUUUUGGACAGAGUCUUAAAUAUUUUAUUUUUUCUAGUCUAGAAAAUGUAUUUCCAAUGGAUUUUGGACCAGAUUUAUUUUAAACCGCAGUAUGCUCUAGCCUUAUUGUCAGAGAUGUGAACUGUGAUCUGAUUGAGGGAUGACAGACAGACAGACACAAGAUGUAUCCAGAAUCCUAAAGUAGACCCUACUCACCCAAUAGGGUUCAAAUGAAGUGGAAAAUAGUUCUGUCCUUCACAUUUAGAUGGAUUUCACUUCAAAUCACGGCAAGAGUUUAAAUAAUAAUCUUUUUAAUAAUUGAAUUCAAGUGAAUAAAUUCAGGGAACUGCGAAUGAAGGAAAUGAAUCAAAUUCUAAAUGAGCCAACUAUUUCAACACUGUUUGUCUCCAGGGUUAAACAUAUAUUGAUUGACACAGGAGGUGAUGCUUCAACUCGCUGCGAAGCGCUCCUAUACAGGUUUGGUUAUCGGAUCAAGAAGAUUCGGGAGACCGAGACAGUGUUUUUGAUAGAGUGAUUGAUACAGAUCUCUUUGGUGGGUCCAAGUACAAGUAAAUCAUCCCAGCCUGACAGGGAGAGGCAGGAAGCUCUUUGUGAACACAUGAAGGCUUGUCCCCAAUGCAUGAUCUAAACGACUGAAUAUGUUAUUGGCUUGUGGGUCAUGGCUGCGUGCCUCCAAAGAUGAGAGAGGUCCUUUCAUUCAGUCAACGCUCGCAAAAUUAUCUCCUCAUCAAAUUUUAUUUGAGCUGAACUGAAAUCUGUUUAUCCAACAACCAAGUGUGAGAGUUGCUUCCAUGCCACUAAUCAUAAACAAAUCACUCUGAAUUCAAAUAAUUUAGAAGUCGAUGGUCUCAGACCCAAGGAAACAUUUCAAAACAUUUCCCAGUUCAACCUCAGGGGAAUUACUCAAGGCUUGAAUUGUGUGGCACACAAUCCUUGACAUUAUGAUUUAAUUUUAUAGUUCCACCGAAAUUCCACAACAUGUGGUACUGGAGUCCUAUGUGUUUUAUAGAUGCCUGAGAUAACUUAUGACUGUAUUUAUCCAAAUAUUGGCUAUAGGUAAACAGGAUUUAACCAUGUAUGUGUAAAGUCAUAAUUUAUCUUGGAAAGGUUGCAUUUCUCAUUUGCAUUUGAAAUUAUAAAAAAAACGAACAAGGAUGACUUAUCUGCAGCAAUCAUAUUUAUGUUUAUUUAUCUUUGCCUUUUCCAUGGGCAAACAAUGUAACAAACCAUUUCCCUGUCCAGAUACAUUCAAGCUAUUUAAACUGGGAACUAACAUAAAAUGGUGGUUGAUUACUUUACUGCUAGCAGCAUUUAAAAAGGUACAUACGUCAACGAUCUGACUGAAGUAACCUUAUUGAGGACAAUUAUACCAUCCUUCAGAAAGAUGACCUGGACACUUGGAACACACAUAAACCUUAUACAGUUAACCUUGUGACUGGAACGAUAGACUGAGGGGUUUACAGCCUUGUCAGUUGUAUCAGCUUCUGCUGUGAGGGACAUUGCAAAAUGUGUCCGAUGUUUAUAACUUUUGUCCUGAGUGCAAUGUUUAUGAGUUUUUUCGAGAUUGGCAGCUCAGGCAAGACAUAUUGUGGUCUGGCUGUAACUGGAUGUGAAAUAGGGGAAAAAGAAUCUGUCUCAAUCUGUUGUCUCCUCUUUUGGAAAGACAGUUAUUUUGAUAAAGCAUGUUUUUGCCAGUUCGCCAGCAGACUUGGCAUCUGCUUUCUGCUGCACAAACACAAUUGUCCGGACAUAGAAAAAAACCUAUAGGGCUUCUGGAAAUAUGUUAAGUUCGUUUUUUAGGUAGGAAAAUUUGUCUUUUCCUUGUUGAAAAGAGAAAGUGAUUUACUGAAAGGAAUACGACCGGAGGCAAUGAGUUCAGUGCUGCAGCUCAGUGCCUCCGCAGGUGUGGGGCUUAAGGGAGGCC